UUUCUGCCUCCGCCGCACUUAGAGAUGAAGAAACCGAGUCCAAGGGACUCAAUUAAACGUUGAGAACAAGACGUUGUAUGAUGUGCUAAAUUCUGCAGGGCGCACAAUUAGGGGAAAAAACGAUCCGUAAUACAGGGCUAAUGGCGCAGGACAGACGCCGAGCGCCCCGGGGAGCUGGAGCCGAGGGAGGAGCCUCCAGGGCCGGGUUCCUGUUAAGGACGCAGCUCUUUCCCCUGAACUGCAUCCCGUGGAAAGGCCGCUCUUCCCCGUGGGGAGCUCAGAUGAGCCGCCGGCUUUGAACCGCGUUGCCGACAACGGCUGGAGCAAGCGAGACAGCUGCUAAAGAGACUUCACAAGAGCAGCAAGAAUCCCACUGCGGGGCCCAGCGGGCGCCUAGUGGAACAGACGUGCCACUGGCCAGGUCAGCCAUAGCCGCAGGGAUUUGCUGUGACCGGAGCAGACAGGCCGGGGCAGGCGCC
rnacentral:lncRNA from 1 species